rnacentral:misc_RNA from 1 species
GAUGAAGAACGCAGCGAAAUGCGAUACGUAAUGUGAAUUGCAGAAUUCAGUGAAUCAUCGAGUCUUUGAACGCACAUUGCGCCCGCCAGUAUUCUGGCGGGCAUGCCUGUCCGAGCGUCAUUUCAACCCUCGAGCCCCCCCGGGGGCUCGGCGUUGGGGAUCGGCCCCUCACCGGGCCGGCCCCGAAAUACAGUGGCGGUCUCGCCGCAGCCUCCCCUGCGCAGUAGUUUGCACACUCGCACCGGGAGCGCGGCGCGUCCACGGCCGUAAAACAACCCAAACUUCUGAAAGGUUGACCUCGGAUCAGGUAGGAAUACCCGCUGAACUUAAGCAUAUCAAUAAGCGGAGGA